AGGUCUAUGAUGGCAAACCAAUGUCAUGAAGAGAGGUAAUGGCAUAUAAAUCAUGCUCAGUAGGGUUACGCUGAGGCCC
ensembl:snoRNA SNORD115 Small nucleolar RNA SNORD115